GACGAACGCUGGCGGCGUGCUUAACACAUGCAAGUCGAACGGAAAGGCCCUGCUUUUGUGGGGUGCUCGAGUGGCGAACGGGUGAGUAUCACGUGAGUAACCUGCCCUUGACUUUGGGAUAACUUCAGGAAACUGGGGCUAAUAUCGGAUAGGAGCUCCUGCUCCAUGGUGGGGGUUGGAAAGUCUCGGCGGUAGGGGAUGGACUCGCGGCUUAUGGGCUUGUUGGUGGGGUAGUGGCUUACCAAGGCUUUGACGGAUAGCCGGCCUGAGAGGGUGACCGGCCACCAUAGGACUGAGAGAGGGACCAGACUGCAACAGGGGACAGCGGGGGGGAGUCUUACACAGUGGGCGGGAGCGUGUUGCGGCGGCGCCGCGGGCGGAAUGACGGCCUUCGGGUUGUGAACCGCUUUCGCCUGAGACGAAGCGUGAGUGACGGUAAUGGGUGAAGAAGCACCGGCUAACUACGUG
rnacentral:rRNA from 1 species